rnacentral:rRNA from 1 species
AUUGAACGCCGGCGGCAGGCUUAACACAUGCAAGUCGAGCGGAGUGAUGGUGCUUGCACUAUCACUUAGCGGCGGACGGGUGAGUAAUGCUUAGGAAUCUGCCUAUUAGUGGGGGACAACAUCUCGAAAGGGAUGCUAAUACCGCAUACGUCCUACGGGAGAAAGCAGGGGAUCACUUGUGACCUUGCGCUAAUAGAUGAGCCUAAGUCGGAUUAGCUAGUUGGUGGGGUAAAGGCCUAUCAAGGCGACGAUCUGUAGCGGGUCUGAGAGGAUGAUCCGCCACACUGGGACUGAGACACGGCCCAGACUCCUACAGGAGGCAGCAGUGGGGAAUAUUGGACAAUGGGGGGAACCCUGAUCCAGCCAUGCCGCGUGUGUGAAGAAGGCCUUAUGGUUGUAAAGCACUUUAAGCGAGGAGGAGGCUCUUUUGGUUAAUACCCAAGAUGAGUGGACGUUACUCGCAGAAUAAGCACCGGCUAACCCUGUGCCAGCCGCCGCCGUAA